UUGAUCCUGGCUCAGGAUGAACGCUAGCGGCAGGCCUAACACAUGCAAGCCGAGGGGUAAGUCUCUUUCGGGAGAACACGACCGGCGCACGGGUGAGUAACGCGUAUGCAACCUACCUUUGGCACGGGGACAGCCCGGGGAAACCCGGAUUAAUACCCGGUAUAGUCUAUUAUACACCUGUAUAAAAGACGAGAGCUACGGCGGCCAAAGAUGGGCAUGCGUGCCAUUAGUUAGUUGGUAGGGUAACGGCCUACCAAGGCAUCGAUGGCUACGGGGUCUAAAAGGAUGAGCCCGCACACUGGUACUGAGACACGGACCAGACUCCUACGGGAGGCAGCAGUGAGGAAUAUUGGUCAAUGGGUGGAAGCCUGAACCAGCCAUGCCGCGUGCAGGAAGACGGCCUUAUGGGUUGUAAACUGCUUUUCUACGGGACGAACGGCUCUGACGUGUCAGAGAUUGACGGUACCGUAGGAAUAAGCAUCGGCUAACUCCGUGCCAGCAGCCGCGGUAAUACGGAGGAUGCGAGCGUUAUCCGGAUUUAUUAGGUUUAAAGGGUGCGUAGGCUGGGCAAUAAGUCAGUGGUGAAAGUCCGCGGCUCAACCGUGGGAUUGCCAUUGAAACUGUUGUUCUUGAGUACAGUCGAGGUAGGCGGAAUGUGUAAUGUAGCGGUGAAAUGCAUAGAUAUUACCCAGAACACCGAUUGCGUAGGCAGCUUACCAGCCUGGAACUGACGCUGAUGCACGAAAGCGUGGGGAGCGAACAGGAUUAGAUACCCUGGUAGUCCACGCCGUAAACGAUGAUCACUCGCUGUUGGCAAUAUAGAGUCAGCGGCUGAGCGAAAGCAUUAAGUGAUCCAGCUGGGGAGUACGUCGGCAACGAUGAAACUCAAAGGAAUUGACGGGGGCCCGGAACAAGCGGUGGAACAUGUG
rnacentral:rRNA from 1 species